GGCUCAUAUGUAGACACAUCAUUGUACUUGCAAUUUAAAAUCGCGGCACAAUAUCUAACUCGCAUACGGCUCAUAUGAUGUGGAGACGACGACGACAUUCCACACUUCAAACUUGUUGAUCCAUCGCCCAUAAAAAUCUCCAAAUGGCGCAUGAGGUAUAACCCUGUGCCUAUUCACACCUUUAAGCAGACAUGAACAACAUUCUGAAAUUCAACUCAUACCAUAUUCAUGGUCAACAAUAGACAUGAAUAACGCAUAUUAUAUUCAAAUACAUUAUAUUCAUAGCAUUUUUCAUACAUGAACAACCCCACAUCAUAUUCACACAUUCAAUUAGCACAAACAAAAUCUUACGUGAACAAAUAACUCAUAUUCACAUUAUAAUCAUUGCAAAAAAUAAUAAUGAUCAACGAAUGGUACAUUUAUAUUUAGUAAUGCCUAAAAUAUUCACACAAAAAACAUACAUUAACAUACGAACGACCCGUAACCACUGAUCAUGUUCAUAUCCAAAUAAAGAUAUGAACAAAACAUUUUAUCAUAAAUAAGUACUAUGUUCACAUGAACAACAAAUAUGAACUACAAACAUAGACACAUGAACAUGAGAAUGCUAUGUUGGAAAUAAGUACUAUGUUCUCAAGAAAAAAUGCUUCAACCACAUAGUGACAUGUUCACCGGAAAAUUCCCGAUCGGAAACAAAAAAAAACCCACCGAAAAUAAAAAAAUACAUAGAUUUGCAAAAAAUACAUACAUUCACCGAAACAAAACUCCAUACAAUCAACAAUAUUGUUCAUAUAAACAAAUUGCAAAAAGUAAACAAUGUUAAAUGCAUACACUCACCCAAAAUUGCAAAAAACAUAGCAACAACGUUCAUAUAAACAAAUCUCCCUACAAUCCACAGAAAAAAAAAGAAGGCUGUAAAUGAACAAAUCUUCCUCCACAUCUCCGGAUUUACAAAAGUUAUACAAAAAAAACAAAAACAUGCAUAGCAGCCUCUGUAAGUGACGAAAAUUUCUUAUUCAUCGAAACAUGGAGUAUCAAAAAAAAAACAAAGGUAGGCUCUCAAAC
rnacentral:lncRNA from 1 species